AGAGUUGAUCAUGGCUCAGGAUGAACGCUGGCGGCGUGCUUAACACAUGCAAGUUGCGCGGUGAUCUCAAGAAGUUUCGGACGGAAAGGGAGAGCAGCAGCGGACGGGUGAGUAAAGCACAAGGACUUGUCCCGAAGAGGGGGACAACUGUGGGAAACCACAGCUAAUACCCCAUAAGCCGAGAGGUGAAAGCAGUAAUGCGCUUUAGGAGAGACUUGUGUCCUAUCAGGUAGUUGGUGAGGUAACGGCUCACCAAGCCGAAGACGGGUAGCCGGACUGAGAGGUUGUACGGCCACAUUGGAACUGAGAGACGGUCCAGACUCCUACGGGAGGCAGCAGUGGGGAAUAUUGGGCAAUGGGGGCAACCCUGACCCAGCGACGCCGCGUGAGGGAAGACAGCCUUCGGGUUGUAAACCUCUGUUGCAGGGGAAGAAGAAAGUGACGGUACCCUGCGAGGAAGCUCCGGCAAACUACGUGCCAGCCGCCGC
rnacentral:rRNA from 1 species